UAAGUGUAAGCUGACUUCUUCUUUCUCACUUCCUCUUAUCAGAGGAGCUGUAGAUUAUCAGAAACUUCCUGCAUGUCAUCACUUAGCAUAUUUACUGCAGACUGUUUGGAUGCAGAGGACGACACAUCAGACGCUGGUGUAGUGAACUCAUUCAGGUGUUGCAGCUUUCAAAGGUUUCACUGUGAAGGAUGGAAGAUUUACACAUGAACAACACCUCACAGGACAACAGCUCUGAUUACAGCAACAACACCAACAACUAUGAUGAUGAUCAUGAACAUGUGAAGUUUAUCAUCAUCGUGGUUGAAUGCGCAGUCAUUGGUGUCGGCCUUCCUUUGACCCUCGUGGCCAUCUAUGCUCUUUUUUCUCAGGUGAGAAAUGGUCAAGUUGCUCCGAUCUACGUCAUCAACCUUCUCAUC